rnacentral:tRNA from 1 species
GCCGGAGUGGCGAAAUGGCAGACGCAGCUGACUCAAAAUCAGCCGUGGGCAACCACAUGUCGGUUCGAGUCCGACCUUCGGCA